UACGGGGGGGGCAAGCGUUGUUCGGAAUUACUGGGCGUAAAGGGCCAGUAGGCGGCCAACUAAGUCGGAUGUGAAAUCCCCAGGCUUAACCUGGGAACUGCAUCCGAUACUGGAUGGCUUGAAUUCGGGAGAGGGAUGCAGAAUUCCAGGUGUAGCGGUGGAAUGCGCAGAUAUCAGGAGGAACACCGGUGGCGAAGGCGGGUCUCUGGGCCGAUACUGACGCUGAGGAGCGAAAGCGUGGGGAGCGAACAGG
rnacentral:rRNA from 1 species